rnacentral:rRNA from 1 species
GACGAACGCUGGCGGCGUGCUUAACACAUGCAAGUCGAACGGAAAGGCCCUGCUUUUGUGGGGUGCUCGAGUGGCGAACGGGUGAGUAACACGUGAGUAACCUGCCCUUGACUUUGGGAUAACUUCAGGAAACUGGGGCUAAUACCGGAUAGGAGCUCCUGCUGCAUGGUGGGGGUUGGAAAGUUUCGGCGGUUGGGGAUGGACUCGCGGCUUAUCAGCUUGUUGGUGGGGUAGUGGCUUACCAAGGCUUUGACGGGUAGCCGGCCUGAGAGGGUGACCGGCCACAUUGGGACUGAGAUACGGACCAGACUCCUACGGGAGGCAGCAGUGGGGAAUAUUGCGGAAUGGGCGGAAGCCUGAUGCAGCAACGCCGCGUGCGGGAUGACGGCCUUCGGGUUGUAAACCGCUUUCGCCUGUGACGAAGCGUGAGUGACGGUAAUGGGUAAAGAAGCAACGGCUAACUACGUG